AUUGAACGCUGGCGGCAGGCUUAACACAUGCAAGUCGAGCGGAGCGAGGGUGCUUGCACCUUAGCUUAGCGGCGGACGGGUGAGUAAUGCUUAGGAAUCUGCCUAUUAGUGGGGGACAACAUUCCGAAAGGAAUGCUAAUACCGCAUACGCCCUACGGGGGAAAGCAGGGGAUCUUCGGACCUUGCGCUAAUAGAUGAGCCUAAGUCGGAUUAGCUAGUUGGUGGGGUAAAGGCCUACCAAGGCGACGAUCUGUAGCGGGUCUGAGAGGAUGAUCCGCCACACUGGGACUGAGACACGGCCCAGACUCCUACGGGAGGCAGCAGUGGGGAAUUGUGGACAAGGGGCGGAAGCCUGAUCCAGCCAUGCCGCGUGUGUGAAGAAGGCCUUUUGGUUGUAAAGCACUUUAAGCGAGGAGGAGGCUACUUAGAUUAAUACUCUAGGAUAGUGGACGUUACUCGCAGAAUAAGCACCGGCUAACUCUGUGCCAGCCGCCGCGGUAACAC
rnacentral:rRNA from 1 species